GGACAACUACGGGGGUCCUCUUUACCCGGAAGUAGUAGACAGGGAGCGGGAGUUUCGCCGUGUCUGACUGUAACUGCCGUUAAGUGUUUCAGGAGUGUCUGCCGCCUCUGAUGCUAAUCGUGAGACUUUUCAGCAAAGUCGUCCAUCCCGGAAGAUUCUCAGCUCUGCCCACUUUGACGUCUCUUUUGCUUGUGGUGAAGAUGGAUUCCUUCUCUGGAAGGCAGAUGAGGGCAAACGAGAGCAGAAAGUCGCCGCCUCGCAAGUGCAGGUGGUCAAUGAGAGACGGAGAGUGAGUUUUUGUGUAGGUGUCAUGGUGCAGAUGGAGAUAAAUGGCGCGCUCUCAUCCUGUUUACGCUGCGUGAAAGAUUGAAGAGGCCUCGUACGCCGCAACGCACACGCAGCUCAACGCCGGCCGGCGCACGGGCAGGCACU